UACGAAGGGGGCUAGCGUUGUUCGGAAUUACUGGGCGUAAAGCGCGCGCAGGCGGUCUUCCAAGUCAGUGGUGAAAGCCUGGAGCUCAACUCCAGAACUGCCAUUGAAACUGUUAGACUUGAGUACGAGAGAGGCGAGUGGAAUUCCCAGUGUAGAGGUGAAAUUCGUAGAUAUUGGGAAGAACACCGGUGGCGAAGGCGGCGACCUGGUCCGAUACUGGCGCUGAGGCGCGAAAGCGUGGGGAGCAAACAGG
rnacentral:rRNA from 1 species